rnacentral:misc_RNA from 1 species
AAGUCGUAACAAGGUCUCCGUAGGUGAACCUGCGGAGGGAUCAUUAGAAAUGCUUUGUUUCUUCUCUUGCUGUUGCUCGUUCCUCGACCCGGGGAAACGGGAAGCAUGCAAUGAGAAACAUCAUUUCCCGGUCGUUUCCAGGAACCGUGCGCUCCUUCCGGGGAGCGGGGGGUAACUGGACGACUGGAAUCUUUCUUCAAGGGGUCCUUCGUAGCCCCUUGAGGGAUUAUCUAUACCUAUCUUUGUCUGAAUCUUUCAUACGACAUCCGCGUUUCGGCGUUAAUGUGCGCUGCUAACACGAAUGAAGUAUACUUAAAUAAUAAUAAUACAACUUUCAACAAUGGAUCCCUCGAUUCUCC